GAUGAAGAACGUAGCGAAAUGCGAUAAGUAGUGUGAAUUGCAGAAUUCAGUGAAUCAUCGAAUCUUUGAACGCACAUUGCGCCCUUUGGUAUUCCUUAGGGCAUGCCUGUUCGAGCGUCAUUUAAACCUUCAAGCUCAGCUUGGUGUUGGGUGACUGUCCGCCGCCUCCGGGCGCGUGGACUCGCCUCAAAAUUAUUGGCGGCCGGUACAUUGGCCUCGAGCGCAGCAGAAACGCGAACUCGGGCCCGUCGUAUUGGCUCCCAGAAGCUAUCUUCACAAUUUUGACCUCGGAUCAGGUAGGGAUACCCGCUGAACUUAAGCAUAUCAAUAAGCGGAGGA
rnacentral:misc_RNA from 1 species